rnacentral:rRNA from 1 species
UCCUGACUGACCGAUAGUGAACCAGUACCGUGAGGGAAAGGCGAAAAGAACCCCGGCGAGGGGAGUGAAAAAGAACCUGAAACCGUGUACGUACAAGCAGUGGGAGCACGCUUCGGCGUGUGACUGCGUACCUUUUGUAUAAUGGGUCAGCGACUUAUAUUCUGUAGCAAGGUUAACCGAAUAGGGGAGCCGAAGGGAAACCGAGUCUUAACUGGGCGUUAAGUUGCAGGGUAUAGACCCGAAACCCGGUGAUCUAGCCAUGGGCAGGUUGAAGGUUGGGUAACACUAACUGGAGGACCGAACCGACUAAUGUUGAAAAAUUAGCGGAUGACUUGUGGCUGGGGGUGAAAGGCCAAUCAAACCGGGAGAUAGCUGGUUCUCCCCGAAAGCUAUUUAGGUAGCGCCUCGUGAAUUCAUCUCCGGGGGUAGAGCACUGUUUCGGCAAGGGGGUCAUCCCGACUUACCAACCCGAUGCAAACUGCGAAUACCGGAGAAUGUUAUCACGGGAGACACACGGCGGGUGCUAACGUCCGUCGUGAAGAGGGAAACAACCCAGACCGCCAGCUAAGGUCCCAAAGUCAUGGUUAAGUGGGAAACGAUGUGGGAAGGCCCAGACAGCCAGGAUGUUGGCUUAGAAGCAGCCAUCAUUUAAAGAAAGCGUAAUAGCUCACUGGUCGAGUCGGCCUGCGCGGAAGAUGUAACGGGGCUAAACCAUGCACCGAAGCUGCGGCAGCGACACUAUGUGUUGUUGGGUA